rnacentral:rRNA from 1 species
GAUGAACGCUGGCGGCGUGCCUAAUACAUGCAAGUCGAGCGAACGGACGAGAAUCUUGCUUCUCUGAUGUUAGCGGCGGACGGGUGAGUAACACGUGGAUAACCUACCUAUAAGACUGGGAUAACUUCGGGAAACCGGAGCUAAUACCGGAUAAUAUUUUGAACCGCAUGGUUCAAAAGUGAAAGACGGUCUUGCUGUCACUUAUAGAUGGAUCCGCGCUGCAUUAGCUAGUUGGUAAGGUAACGGCUUACCAAGGCAACGAUGCAUAGCCGACCUGAGAGGGUGAUCGGCCACACUGGAACUGAGACACGGUCCAGACUCCUACGGGAGGCAGCAGUAGGGAAUCUUCCGCAAUGGGCGAAAGCCUGACGGAGCAACGCCGCGUGAGUGAUGAAGGUCUUCGGAUCGUAAAACUCUGUUAUUAGGGAAGAACAUAUGUGUAAGUAACUGUGCACAGCUUGACGGUACCUAAUCAGAAAGCCACGGCUAACUACGUG